AUAACUCCGGGAAACCGGGGCUAAUACCGGAUGGUUGUUUGAACCGCAUGGUUCAAACAUAAAAGGUGGCUUCGGCUACCACUUACAGAUGGACCCGCGGCGCAUUAGCUAGUUGGUGAGGUAACGGCUCACCAAGGCAACGAUGCGUAGCCGACCUGAGAGGGUGAUCGGCCACACUGGGACUGAGACACGGCCCAGACUCCUACGGGAGGCAGCAGUAGGGAAUCUUCCGCAAUGGACGAAAGUCUGACGGAGCAACGCCGCGUGAGUGAUGAAGGUUUUCGGAUCGUAAAGCUCUGUUGUUAGGGAAGAACAAGUACCGUUCGAAUAGGGCGGUACCUUGACGGUACCUAACCAGAAAGCCACGGCUAACUACGUGCCAGCAGCCGCGGUAAUACGUAGGUGGCAAGCGUUGUCCGGAAUUAUUGGGCGUAAAGGGCUCGCAGGCGGUUUCUUAAGUCUGAUGUGAAAGCCCCCGGCUCAACCGGGGAGGGUCAUUGGAAACUGGGGAACUUGAGUGCAGAAGAGGAGAGUGGAAUUCCACGUGUAGCGGUGAAAUGCGUAGAGAUGUGGAGGAACACCAGUGGCGAAGGCGACUCUCUGGUCUGUAACUGACGCUGAGGAGCGAAAGCGUGGGGGAGCGAACAGGAUUAGAUACCCUGGUAGUCCACGCCGUAAACGAUGAGUGCUAAGUGUUAGGGGUUUCCGCCCCUUAGUGCUGCAGCUAACGCAUUAAGCACUCC
rnacentral:rRNA from 1 species